CAAAAUCUUAUUCUGCACACCCACAUGAAAUAUUGAGUCAUAAAGAUGUUAAAUAUUAUAUUUCAUGAAUUUUAUAUAUCAAUUUUAUUUUUUUAAACAGAGGGAUCCGCUUACAAAAGAGUUACUGGGUCAUAUCAAAUUUUUCUAUGAGAUGAAUUGCAGCAAUGAACGUGGGUGGACAACUAAAGAAGCGGAGUCCCAUUAUGUAAGUAGUACUUGUUAUAAUUGUAUAAUGAAUAUUUCAAAAAUAUAAUAUUUUAUUUAUAAUUUACAUGGAUCCACAGAAUCAAAUGGUCAACCUUUUACAAGAAGAAAAUUCUCAACUAGAUUCGAAUGAACACCUAUGCCUUUAAAAGAAUCUGAAAUAUGUGAGUAAGUUUUGGGCAAGAGAUUUUGCCACGUUGAUCAAUAGAAAAAUUCAAAGAAGAAAAGGUUGCAAAAUUGUGGUAUUUGUGCAGAGAAUGCUGCUUUACAAAAUGAGUUUGAAGAUCUUUGCUCUCAAUUGAAAUCUCUGCAGACAUUUUUUAAGUCGCAUUCUUGAAGAGUCUCUUCGGUCUAUUCAAUCUGAUGUGUCUUCGUCCAAUGUUUUAAAUGGUGAUAAUUAAUAUGUUUUUUACUUUAUUUUUGGUGAUGUAGUAAUAGUUAUAUAUUUUUAUUUGAUUGAGGCAAUAGUUUCUAACUUUACAUCUACUAGUUUUUAAUGUUGAGAACACUAAUGAUUGAACAGACUGUAUUUUUUUGUCUAG
rnacentral:lncRNA from 1 species